rnacentral:rRNA from 1 species
GAUUAACGCUGGCGGCGUGCAUAACACAUGCAAGUCGAACGAUGAAACUUAGUAGACUUCUUCGGAAAGACACUAAGCGGAUUAGUGGCGAACGGGUGAGUAACGCGUGAGUAACCUGCCUUACACAAGGGGAUAGCCUUUGGAAACGAAGAAUAAUACCCUAUAAAACUAUAAAAGCACAUGCUAGAAUGGUCAAAGUGCUAGCGGUGUAAGAUGGACUUGCGUCUGAUUAGCUAGUUGGUGAGAUAAAAGCUCACCAAGGCAACGAUCAGUAGCCGGCUUGAGAGAGUGUACGGCCACAUUGGGACUGAGACACGGCCCAGACUCCUACGGGAGGCAGCAGUGGGGAAUGUUGCACAAUGGGGGAAACCCUGAUGCAGCGACGCCGCGUGAUUGAGAAGGCCUUCGGGUUGUAAAAAUCUUUUGUAUAGGAAGAAAAUGACAGUACUAUACGAAUAAGGUCCGGCUAAUUACGUG